rnacentral:rRNA from 2 species
GGAUGUGAUCAUACCAGCACUAAAGCACCGGAUCCCAUCAGAACUUCGAAGUUAAGCGUGCUUGGGCGAGAGUAGUACUAGGAUGGGUGACCUCCUGGGAAGUCCUCGUGUUGCAUUCC